rnacentral:rRNA from 1 species
CCUACGGGGGGCAGCAGUGGGGAAUAUUGCACAAUGGGCGAAAGCCUGAUGCAGCAACGCCGCGUGAGCGAUGAAGGCCCUCGGGUCGGAAAGCUCUGUCCGCAAGGAAGAUAAUGACGGUACUUGAGGAGGAAGCCACGGCUAACUACGUGCAAGAAGCGUCGUUACUACGUAGGGGGCUAGCGUUAUCCGGAAUUACUGGGCGAAAGGGGUGCGUAGGUGGUUGCUUAAGUCAGAGGUGAAAGGCUACGGCUCAACCGUAGGAAGCCUUGGAAACUGGGGAACUUGAGUGCAGGAAAGGUGAGUGGAAUUCCUAGUGUAGCGGUGAAAUGCGUAGAGAUUAGGAGGAACACCAGUUGCGAAGGCAGCUCUCUGGACUGUAACUGACACUGAGGCACGAAAGCGUGGGGAGCAAACAGGAUUAGAUACCCUUGUAGUC